GCUGUAUCUCCUUGAUUCCUUCUCAGACAUCUUCGAGGAACCAUCAUCCCUCCCACCUUUUCACGAAGGCUUUGAUCACCAAAUUCCUCUCCUUGCGGGUUCAAACCCUGUGAACUUGAGACCUUACCGGUACUCUUCCCUGCAAAAAUACAAUAUCGACGUGAUGAUCAAAGAGAUGAUGACUCAAGGGAUCAUUCAGCAUAGCUCUAGCCCCUACGCCUCUCAUAUCAUACUAGUCAAGAAGAAAGACGGUACCUGGAGACUUUGCGUGGACUACAGAGGCUUAAACAAGCAGACAAUAAAGGAUAAAUACCCUAUUCCUCUGCUUGAAGAUCUCC
rnacentral:lncRNA from 1 species